GCAGUGCAUGGCCGAAUGUUACGCUGUCCGCUUUGUAAGCGGAUGAUUCUGGGUUCGAUUCCCAUCUGCUGCA
rnacentral:tRNA from 1 species